GCUGCUACUGUUGAGUGCUGCUGCUGCUGCCGAGAGCUACUGCUGCUACUGCUGCUGCUGUCAAGUGCAGAAGAGAAACCGUAGGGACUGUUUUGUAACAACUGUAGGGACUGUUUUAUAACAGCUGUAGGGACUGUUUUGUAAAAAUAGCAAAUUCUGCUUUAUGGGGAGAUUUAGUUGCAAUUGGCUGAUCUUAUCUAAACUCCAGCACACCCCCAGCUGCAUACGUAUGCAGGGCAACCUCCUCUCCAUCUCUUUUCAUUUUCUUUCUUAUUCUCUCUCUCUCUCUCUAAACCGUAUGUGGUAGGAUUUGAGGGAGAGUGGUGGAGUUGAUGUUGGAGCUGUGAGAAGGUUUUGGAGCUGGGUUAUUAUGGUGGAGAGGGAACCCGAGGUGAGUUGGUGAUAU
rnacentral:lncRNA from 1 species